GAUGAACGCUGGCGGCGUGCCUAACACAUGCAAGUCGAGCGAGCAGUUUUGAAGAGAUCCUUCGGAUGAAAUUUAAAAUGGAAAGCGGCGGACGGGUGAUUACCGACUAGGCAACCUGCCCCAUACAAAGGGAUAGCAAUCGGAAACGAAUUUUUAUACUUUAUGAAACUUAUCAAGUGUAUACUAGGUAGUUCAAAGAGUUAGCGGUAUGGGCUGGGCCUGCGUCUGAUUAGCUAGUUGGUGAGGCAACGGCUCACCAAGGGGACGAUCAGUAGCCGAACUGGGAAGGUGAGCGCCCACAUCCGAACGGAGACACGGUCCGAACUCCUACGGGAGGCAGCAGAGGGGAGUAGUGCACAAGGGGGGAAAGCCUGAUGCGGCAACGCCGCGUGAACGAUGGUGGCCUUUGGGGCACAAAGGUCUAAUCUACGGGAUAAAAACUGACGGUAACCUAGGAGAAAGCCCCGGCUAACUCCGUG
rnacentral:rRNA from 1 species